UUGGAGGGCAAGUCUGGUGCCAGCAGCCGCGGUAAUUCCAGCUCCAAUAGCGUAUAUUAAAGUUGUUGCAGUUAAAAAGCUCGUAGUUGAAUUUCGGGAUUGACGUGAUGGUCAUGCCUUAAGGGGUAUGAACUGUUACUGUUGAUUUCUCACCUUCUGGAGAAACUUGAUGUCCUUUAUUGGGUGUCUUGCGGAUCCAGGACCUUUACCUUGAAAAAAUUAGAGUGUUUAAAGCAGGCAUUUUUGCUCGAAUACAUUAGCAUGGAAUAAUAGAAUAGGACGGCAUGGUUCUAUUUUGUUGGUUUCUAGGAUCACCGUAAUGAUUAAUAGGGAUAGUUGGGGGCAUUAGUAUUCAAUUGUCAGAGGUGAAAUUCUUGGAUUUAUUGAAGACUAACUACUGCGAAAGCAUUUGCCAAGGAUGUUUUCAUUAAUCAAGAACGAAAGUUAGGGGAUCGAAGACGAUCAGAUACCGUCGUAGUCUUAGCCAUAAACUAUGCCGACUAGGAAUCAGACGAUGUUAAUUUUUUAAUGACUCGUUUGGCACCUUACGGGAAACCAAAGUGUUUGGGUUC
rnacentral:rRNA from 1 species